ACCUCUAGCUCGCCGCUCACCCUCGACGCCACUGUCGCUCGCCCUCGACGCCACCGCUGCUCACCCUCGACGCCGCCGCUCGCUGACCCCUGCUCAAGGCCACCUCCGCUCGCCCUCGACGGCACCGCGGCUAACCUCUGGCUCGCCGCUCACCCUCAAUGCCACCGCUCACUGACCCCUGCUCAAGGCCACCUCUGCUCGCAUAUUGCUCCUUCAGAGGCUAAAAUCUCUGUUUUAUGAAUUUUUUAUGCCAUGAUGAUUUGAAGCUUGCUGAUAAUGGCGCAAAGACAAGUACAACGGAGAGGAGUGCUGACUUUGGCGAAAAUCUUUGGGAACUUGAAGACACUUUAUCAGAAGCUGCAUCAAAGCAUGAGCUAUGAGUCUUUUGCUGAUUUAAACAAGUUUUCCCAGGUAUGCCACCUGCAUAAAGUUAGUAGGAUAGCA
rnacentral:lncRNA from 1 species